AUAGUGAUGGUUUCACCGCUCCCUAUAACGUUCCUGGAUGUACUUCCUGAUCCAAGCUCCUCUGCAGUGUUUGUGAAAAAUAUCUCAAUGAGGAAUCGUCUGACCUUCUGAAACCAAAAAUGAGAUACUUCAAUCAGUUAUUUCCAAUAAUGCAAGGAAGAGUCUUCAUUUGUCUGUUACUGUUUGGUUUUCACACUGUGCUGUCAGAGAUAUUCGAUGUGUUUGGACCGGAUGAUCCCAUCACAGUCUCUGUGGGUAAAGAUGUUGUAC